UAAUUUAACAUUAUAAUAAAAGUAUAUUUUAUUUGUGAUGUAAAUUUUCUUAGUAAGAUACUUUUAUUACAGUAAUUAUAAUGAAAACUUGUAAUUACUGAAACAUAAGACAGAAUCGGACAAGGUGUAUCAGGACGCCAACAACUGACAUUGUUGUGGGCGUAUUUGUUGAUUUUGUGAACAAAAUGUUAAUUUGUGGGCCUUCUUCCCUCUCUUGUGGAGAUGUUACAACAAAGCUUUGGGAGAUUGAACUGCUCUAUAACAGCUGAAAAUGAUAAGGAGCAUGGAACAAAAGCUUCCACCAGCACUGCCACCAUCACUACUAGCACCACCACCUAUGGCAAGAUGAGUUAACAACUAAACAUUGAGAAGUUAACAACCGGACCAUGGAGACACUAUUGUUACAGGUAUGUCUUUAUGUCUGUCUGUGUUUGUCUCUGCUGUAUCUGUCUAAUCUCAAUUUUUCUAGGUAUGUCUAACUGUCUGUCAUUCUCUCAGUCUUUCAAUACCUGUAUGUCAGUCAGUCUGUCUGUUUGGUAUUUAUAUCAUCUGUCAGACUGUCUUUAUCUAUACAAGUAUUUGUCUUAUCUAUAUCUAUGCUAUCAUUAAGAAAGAUAUUGACAGUGAGUGAGGAAGGUGGGUACACAAGAGGUACAGUGAGUGAGGAAGGUGGGUACACAACAGGUACAGUGAGUGGAUGGCAGACUGCAGGAUGCUGCUGACUGUAAGUGAUGUGUGUGUGCAGGUAAAUAUGUUUCCACGGCAAGACUGAAGAAACUCAACACUGAAGAUUAUCCUUGUGUUGUGCGGAUGAGUUCUGCUGUCUGGGUGAUGUGAUCAGUGCUGGAAGGGGUUCUGAAGGCUUCUGUGUUAUGAGUCAUGGAUGAGUGCUGCUGCCUGGGUGACAUGAUAGUGCUGGAGGGGGUGCU